AGACAGCAUAAGGUGAAAAUACAGCGAGGAAAAUUCUUUUUGUGUGACGUAACACGUCUGGGACUUGGGUGUGCGCAAGCGAGAAAUUAUUCAGGAUUUACCUAGAAGGACAUUUUCAAAAUGGGAGCAAGUACGUAUACUUCUAUUGUUGAAGAACAACUAUAUACAAUACUGGUAUAUUUACAGUCGUGUCAGUAGAAGCGUUCCGAAAAAUGUUGACCAAUUCAUUUCCUAACUUGAAGGAACACCUCUGAACAAUUCCUCAACAAUUUGAUAAGUUCCUUAAAAAGUUCCUAACUUCCUGUUGACCAAUCAAAUUGCUCAAAAAUAAAAAAUAAAAUUUGAUUUAUAGCGACGAUCACGAAACUCGCCACAGAAUCUGAAGAGACUUGGAAGAAUGCUGAGAUUGUUAUUUAUGAUCAGCGAGGAAAUGACUUAUGUGUUCGAUCAGGGAAUGCUGAAAACAAAUUUGUUGUCCAGCUUGAUGAAAAGGAUGAGAUUAAUAUAACGUGUACAGGCAAAAAAAGCUAAAAACAUCCAAACUAUCAAAGCGCCGAACUAGGACAACCAAGCCAGCUGCGAUCAAAUAUUAUAUAGCAUGAAAUAGCAUGCAGUCACGUAUAUAUUUGCACCGUUUUUGAUGCCUAGAGACCACAUAUUAAUCGUCUAUAGUGUCUCUCAGUGUUGUGUGUGGUUUAGGUGUCCGAUAAUUAAAGUCGAAUUUAGCUGAAAUCUGUGCUUUAAAAUAUUUGCAAAAGAAAUAGUGUAAAACAUGUUUUGCAAAUUGUUUUAGAUGCCGCAAUAACGUUGGAUCCACUACGUAGAUCUAUUCUCUGCCUAAUUUUAUUGUUCUGUGUCAGUGAGAAACAGUAAAAAUGCGCAGUGAUAAUACUAAUUUGUUGUGAUAAUGUUAAAUGUAAUUACAG